rnacentral:rRNA from 1 species
GACGAACCGAGCGAACGUUAUUCGGAAUCACUGGGCGUAAAGAGCGUGUAGGCGGUCCGAUAAGUCCGCUCUGAAAGUCCGGGGCUCAACCCCGGGAGGCGGGCGGAUACUGUCGGGCUAGAGUCCGGAAGAGGCAAGUGGAAUUCCUGGUGUAGCGGUGAAAUGCGUAGAUAUCAGGAGGAACACCGGUGGUGUAGACGGCUUUCUGGACCGUAACUGACGCUGAGACACGAAAGCGUGGGUAGCAAACAGG